GUUUCAAUUCCUCAUAGGCAGGCUAUCGGCCGGUCGUAGGCGCUCCGCUUACCGUAGCUCCGACAG
rnacentral:sRNA from 1 species